ACCCCGCCCCCUCCGCUGCAGGAGGAGGGGAGGCUGAGCCGAGGGCUUCGCCAGUCCCGUAACCUACGCACGCAGUGUGGCCGCAUGGCGGGGGCAGACCUGUAGCUAAGAGGGGGAGAAGAAAGCGCAGUGGGAGGAAUGGCCUAGCCCACACCUCCGCUGGAUGAGGAAGCAGGGGCUGCUCUCCCUUCAGCAAAUAAAAAGCCAGAGGACACUGAAAAAGUGGCUAAGAACAACUCUCCUCGGAUCGCGUUGCUGCUGGCAGGCUUUCAGAAGAAUCAGGAAAGAUAAGCAAUGAACAAUGAAGGGGUGACGUAAAGCAGGGUCAUUUGUAUAAAUUCUGGCAAGGGGCCCGUUGGUGAGGCGUGUGUGCCCCGAUGAGCGAACGCCGUGGGUCCUGGCUAAGGGGGAUGAGGCCAGUUAGUAAAAGUCCGAAUCGUGGACAGGGAGCUGUGGGACCUCCAGGGUCUGCUGGGUCACGGAGCUUUGACUGAGGCUACCAUGGCUCUGGGGCUGCACCCCGGACUUCCACUGUCUCUGACCUCAUGGGACACAGGUCCCAGUGAGGGAGACCACCAGCCAACCCCAAGAACGUCCUGUGCCUGUUGGUGGCAAGAGGAAGAGAGUACCUCCCUCCUGGCCUCUCCCUCCCACCUCCUGAGUGGAUAUUCUUACACUCCUCCCUCCAUCCGCCUGCCUGCUCUCAAUGACGCACACAGGCUCCAGCAGCCGUCAUGACUCUCCACUCACAUCCGUUGUCAUUGUCGGCUGUGGAGCUCCCGCCGAGGCCCUGGGCUCCUCCCGCUAUUCCCCUGCUCCUUUCCCUCCCAGGGAGUGCUGUCCUUUUCUGGGCCACGGAGGGGGUAGGGGGGUAGCGGUGGGGGGAGGGAGAUGCUUGCAAAGCCCAGCCCCCACCUCCCUUCAGGAGAGGAGAAACUCACUGUCCAUCUGGGGGAGAACUGGGCAGCCCCAGGGGGAGAGCUCUGGGGCUCUGGUGCCCAAGGGACUGCACAUGUCCUCCCUUCCCUUCCCCUCCCCUUCCUUCCCUGGGUCCCGCAGUGUUCACCACCAGCUCAGCGGCUUUGCGGGUCCUUGCUGGGAAUCGGAGCCUCCAGGCGCCUCCUCUGAUCCUGACAUGCACAAUUUUACUCCAAGUCCCAAGUGACAAGUGACAGUAUCAACGUCUGUGACUUCCGCUGGGAUCCCAGAGCUGGCAGGAAAGGAAAGCAGCUAGCUCCUCGCAAACAUGGGUAUGCAGGCGAUGUCUCCCCAACUUCUUCAAGGCCAGAGAAUGCUGUGGCCCAGCUGUGGUGGCACCCCACGUAGGGGUGGGCGUGACAGAGGGGGAGGGGGAGGCGACUCUCCCGCUGUGUCCGUGAGCUGGCUGCCCCCUCCUGCUGCCCACCUGGACCUCCAUAUAGCACAUCCAGACCCAUGCCUGAGAGUCACUCCUGCCCCAUGGACGCCCCUGGCACCUGGGCGGGGUGAGUGAGGGGAGGUGCUGGGAAUGGCCCGUGUCGGAGGAAGGAGGUUUACCACCGGGAGAAGGGUCAGAGAGGACCACACUGGGCGGUGACUCCUAAAAUGGUCUUUGUGGUGAAUUCUUGUGGAAGACCAGCAGGAAGAGGGACGUGGCCAUUUAGGACAGGGUUGCUCCAGCCCCAGCCCUUGUGUCCUGAGUCCCCAGGGCAGCCUGGGGAGGGAGGUUCGGGUCUGCACCCCCAGCCCCAGGAUGGUGUGGACUCAGUCAAGUGGCCACGUGUGAGCUGAUGGGUGCUCGAAGACCUGUGUCUGUUGGGAACUUCGGGAGAGUCUAUUAAGGAGGAAGAACAGGGGUGCUGGUCCCUCCCGGGGCCUCCUCCCAAAGCCAUAAGUUACGUCCAUUCACGUGCUGGACAUGGAUGAUGGCUUCUAAGUUUCCCAGAGCUGCUGUAACAAAGGAUUGAGGAUUGAGCGGCUUAAAAUACCGAAAUGGAUUCUCUCACAGUUCUGGGGGCCAGAGGUUCUAAAUCCAGAUGUCAGCAGGGCGUGCUUCCCCUGAAAGUUCUGGGGGACAAUGUGUUUCCUGUCUCUCUCCCAGCUGCCAGUGCUGCCGGCAGUCCUUGGAGCUCCUUGGUUUGUAGAUGGGUCCCUCCGACCUCGGCCUCCAUCACCCGUGGUUGAGUCUCCCUGUGUCUCUGGGUGUCCUCGCCUCUCUUAGAAGGACACCAGUCAUUGGAUUUACCAACAGGCGAGGCUGGAGGCAGGUCUCUGUGGCCAGCUGGCCAUGUCCCUUGAAUGCGUUUUUCUUAGGGCAGUCGGGGCACAGGAGGGGAGGGCAAGCUAGCCUGCUCUCCAGGGAGUGCUGCCUCACCCAAGAUGGGGGGCAAGGGCUCUCCCUCCUUCCUUCCACUUAGCCCGUCCUGAAGCUCCUUGAAGGCAGGCUCGGGUGGGCAACGGGGACAAGCUUGAAUGCCCACUGUGUGUCCAGUGGCAAGGACUUGAUCUCCCAGAAGGAUUUCCAGGCAGGGUCCUGGGUCCCCACCCUCUCCACCCAGAUGCUGGCCCCAGUAACUCCCCAUGGAACAUCUCCGUGCAGAUGUGCCCCUGGGAAGCUAAAGGCAGGUAGGAGAUGCCCCAGCUGGGGUACGUGGAAAGUGUUUCCUCAAACAGCACAGGCACACCCACCCCCAGUGAGCUUGUGUGGACAUGCGCGAACUAGUGAGUUAGCGCCCAGCGCAGAGGGCGGCCUGGAACACGCACACUGUUAUUACCAGUAAAAGCACUGUGGCCGGUGGGCAUGUAGAGCCGGGUGUCACUCCCAAGUUGACCUUGAGCCCUGGCUCCAUAGGAAACCAUCUGCCGCCUCCUCUCCCAGCUGGGAGCGUACUCCCCGGGGCUGGAGGGGGUGCACUGGCAUCACCGUGUGUCUGGGGGGACCUUGGCACCCUGGUGCUCUCCUAAGUGGGCGACCUCCCUGGGGAUCCCAGGCCAGAGCCGCACCCUCUGGAACUGGGACUCCUGGGUACAGGGCGGGACAGAAACCGAACAGGCUGUACCCAGGAAUGCAAAUGACCCUGCCUAAGAAAAGGGAAGGACAUCCAGCCGCAGCCCGGUCCUGGCAGCCCCACGUAUGGACACAGCUGGCAAGGAAAGUUCCCUUGCCCCAAGUCAGCCACUUCCUGUCUUAGUUCUGUAGGGGAGGAGGAGAGGCGACCCUGGUCCGUAAGGCCUGGGGUCUAGCCAGGCCCGAGGCACGGCUGCUCCGUCCACCCCAAACCCUGUGGACCUCUCUUGUCCAUCCGGCCUUGGCAAACUAGGGACCCCCUGCCAUGGUGACCCCGUUUCCACCCCCAAAUGUGGGGCCCAGAGUUGGACAAGCCAGAUCACAGAGGGGCAGUGCCGGCCACUCCACCAGGGUCCACAUGGACACGGGGGACCGAAGUCGUGGCAGCUGGGGGCAGGGCGGUGAAGACCGAGUGGGAGACGGGCUUCCCGAAGGAGAGGCACUGCUCCCGCCCUCCCCGGCCCCAGGGCAGCGGAGCCUCCUCCAGAGGAGGAAGUGGGCAGCUGGCCCAGGAAGGACCAUUGCUCAGCGCACGAAGGGGAGGCCUGUGCUCUUUCCGGGGCAGGAAGGCUCUUCAGUUCAACUAAGCGGGGAGCCCUGGGACCAGCCCGGGGUCACCCGAGCUCCUUCCCCUGGGCCCGGAGACCCAGAGGCCCCUGCCCAGUGUGAGUCUCUCAGCGGCCACGGGCCACCGGGUAGCUGUGGGAGAGGCCCUGGCAGGAAGCCGCCCUUGGAUGGCGCAGCCGUGGCCGGAGCCUGCCAAGCCCGACACCCACCUCACAGGGGCCGAUACUGACGUGGGGCUGGGCCUUUCCCGCCGGGGCCAGUGACCGCCGACAAUGCUGGUGACACACAGUGGUAGCUGACAUAGGCCCAGGGGCCACGAGCAUCCCUACCCCAGCCAAUAAAGAUAUCUUGACCCCAGGGAGGCAGGCGGCCAUGAAACACACACGUGUUCGGAAUUUGCCUCCAAGUCUGGAACAGUCAUCUGAGCACUAACUCCUUUAACAGAGCUCCCCUCCCCGCCCCGCCCCACCCCGUGCACCGCUGUCUGCGUCCCUGCCUCGGCGAUGGUUGUUGGCAUCGAUGGGCACGUUCGAACCAGGAGACCAGAUGAAGCGGCCACAGAUUUUGAAAUGCCCACGCGUCUUUAUUUCCACAGCCAUGCGCUGUUUGCAGUAGUUCACCGAGCCCUUCAGGACGCGCUGGGGAACGAAGCUGCUGAAAUAGGAAAGCAGCACGGGUGAGGGCCCACAAGUGCCACAGGCCAGCCGUGUCACUGCCGGACGGAAGGCGGCUCGACAGAGGACAUCCCAUAUUCGUUUUCCCCGCCUCACAUGCUGGAUUCUUUCAUAGCGGGUUAGCACCGUGGAACAGUCUCACAGCCUCUGCCCUGGCCCACCUCUGGGAUGGGGAUCCCCGAGCUAUUUCGGGGAGUCGACUCGUUCAUGACCUGGGGAAGAACCCUACGCAGGAGACGGAAGCUCUGCUUUUCCUGCAGUGUCUGAACUCCUCAGACAGUGGUGGGACCACCCUGGGGCUACACGGACACAGGCCGUCGCACCCAGUCCCUGAGGGCGGGGGGGACCCUGUGCGCUGUGUGCGGGGGCCCUGCUGACCUCCUGCCAUUCGCACCCCCCUGUCCCCGGGAAGUGAGCCUCUUCCUGCUCGGCCCGUGGGCCCUUCCAGGGACUGUCCAGGAGCGACUCCCCCGCUCGGGAGGACGUUCCCUAGGAGGGCCACGCCUCUUCCCGCAGACAAUCCUUACCUCCUGAGCAGAAAGCACCCCGUCUUCUCACCGGAGAGUGACCCUGGAGAUCCGGGAAUUAAAGGGUUGUUGAAAUAAGAGUCAAGGAUGAAGCUUCUGGUAAGAUUGUGUCAGUGGAAAUGUCUGGAAAGAAGAGGUCAGCUCAGCGGCUUUCAGUGGAAAACCAGCUUGUUGGGAAGUGUGAAGCUGGAGGGCUCCCCGGAACCUUCUCUGGUUGGAUUCCGAUGGAGGGAGUGUGCGGUGCCACGGGGACCACGUGGCUGACGGGACACGCUGGCUGCAGGUCUCAUGGCCCCGGCUUGGGCCUUGGUUAUUUCUUCUCUCCUUUACAAAAUUGUUUUUCCUAACAAUAACUUUUUUGUUUAAUAAGUUAAAGAACGUUUUGUUUUACUUAUGCGUUUGAUGGAUUGUGUGGUAAAGUACACGUGACACAAGUUUACCGUCGUGACUGUUUCUCAGUGCGCAGCCUGGCGACACUGAGACACUCGAGCUGCUGUGCUGCCGUCCCCUGCGGCCACCUCUGGCAUCCUUCUCAUCUCGGAAACUGAAACUCUUCCCGCUAACCGGGGACACCUGCUUCCCCUGCGCCAGCUCCUGGAAGCUUCCGGUCUACUUUCUGUCUCUGAAAGUGACUCCUCUAGGUCCCUCCUACGAGCGCAAUCACGCGGUGUCCAUCCCUUUGUGUCUGGCAUAUGUCACUGAGCAUAAUGUCCUCUGUCCAUCCAUGUGGUAGCAGGUGCCAAAAUCUCCUUCCUUUUUAAGGCCGAAAAAUAUUCCACUGUAUGUGCAGACUGUGUUUUGUUUAUGCAU